rnacentral:rRNA from 1 species
GACAGAGGGUGCAAACGUUGUUCGGAAUUACUGGCGUAAGCGCGUGUAGGCUGCUUCGCAAGUCGGAUGUGAAAGCCCUGGGCUCAACCCAGGAAGUGCAUUCGAAACUGCAGAGCUGGAGUCCUGGAGAGGAAGGCGGACUUCUCGGUGUAGAGGUGAAAUUCGUAGAUAUCGAGAGGAACACCGGUGGCGAAGGCGGCCUUCUGGACAGUGACUGACGCUGAGACGCGAAAGCGUGGGGAGCAA